UACGUAGGGUGCUAGCGUUGUCCGGAUUUAUUGGGCGUAAAGAGCGUGUAGGCGGUCAUGCAAGUCGGGUGUGAAAGCCCGGGGCUCAACCCCGGAAGUGCAUUCGAUACUGCGUGGCUAGAGUACUGGAGAGGAUGGUGGAAUUCUCGGUGUAGAGGUGAAAUUCGUAGAUAUCGAGAAGAACACCGGUGGCGAAGGCGGCCAUCUGGACAGAUACUGACGCUGAGACGCGAAAGCGUGGGGAGCAAACAGG
rnacentral:rRNA from 1 species